rnacentral:rRNA from 1 species
CCUACGGGGGGCAGCAGUCGGGAAAAUUUUGCAAUGCGCGCAAGCGUGACAGAGCAAGCCAGAGUGCUUUUCUAUAAUUGAAAAGCUUUUGUGGAAUGUAAACAGUUCCACGAAUAAGGACUGGGAGAGACUGGUGCCAGCCGCCGCGGUAAUCCCAGCAGUCCAAGUCGCAGCCACAUUUGUUGGGUCUAAAACAUCCGUAGCUUGCUUUGUAAGUCUUUUGUGAAAUCGGGACUCUUAAGGUUCCGGCGGGCAAAAGAUACUGCUUAGCUUGAGACCGGGAGACGUAAGAAGUACAGAUGGAGUAGCGGUAAAAUGUGUUGAUCCUAUCUGGACUAACAAUAGCGAAGGCAUCUUACGAGAACGGAUCUGACAGUGAGGGAUGAAGGCUAGGGGCGCAAAGUGGAUUAGAUACCCCGGUAGUC